AUUGACGGGGACCCGCACAAGCGGCGGAGCAUGCGGAUUAAUUCGAUGCAACGCGAAGAACCUUACCAAGGCUUGACAUACACCAGAACACCGUAGAAAUACGGGACUCUUUGGACACUGGUGAACAGGUGGUGCAUGGUUGUCGUCAGCUCGUGUCGUGAGAUGUUGGGUUAAGUCCCGCAACGAGCGCAACCCUCGUUCUAUGUUGCCAGCACGUAAUGGUGGGAACUCAUGGGAUACUGCCGGGGUCAACUCGGAGGAAGGUGGGGAUGACGUCAAAUCAUCAUGCCCCUUAUGUCUUGGGCUUCACGCAUGCUACAAUGGCCGGUACAAAGGGCUGCAAUACCGUGAGGUGGAGCGAAUCCCAAAAAGCCGGUCCCAGUUCGGAUUGAGGUCUGCAACUCGACCUCAUGAAGUCGGAGUCGCUAGUAAUCGCAGAUCAGCAACGCUGCGGUGAAUACGUUCCCGGGUCUUGUACACACCGCCCGUCAAGUCAUGAAAGUCGGUAACACCUGAAGCCGGUGGCCCAACCCUUGUGGAGGGAGCCGUCGAAGGUGGGAUCGGUAAUUAGGACUAAGUCGUAACAAGGUAGCCGUACCGGAAGGUGCGGCUGGAUCACCUCCUUAAUC
rnacentral:rRNA from 1 species